rnacentral:rRNA from 2 species
UCAAACCGGGAGAUAGCUGGUUCUCCCCGAAAGCUAUUUAGGUAGCGCCUCGUGAAUUCAUCUCCGGGGGUAGAGCACUGUUUCGGCUAGGGGGCCAUCCCGGCUUACCAACCCGAUGCAAACUGCGAAUACCGGAGAAUGUUAUCACGGGAGACACACGGCGGGUGCUAACGUCCGUCGUGAAGAGGGAAACAACCCAGACCGCCAGCUAAGGUCCCAAAGUCAUGGUUAAGUGGGAAACGAUGUGGGAAGGCCCAGACAGCCAGGAUGUUGGCUUAGAAGCAGCCAUCAUUUAAAGAAAGCGUAAUAGCUCACUGGUCGAGUCGGCCUGCGCGGAAGAUGUAACGGGGCUAAACCAU